rnacentral:lncRNA from 1 species
CAUAGAGACCUUAGCAGUAGAGAAUUUGUUAGUUGGGUAAUGGCAGACCAGCCACAUACCGUAACACUAGUUUUCUCUCAAGGAGUAAGAAAAAAAAAAAAAAAUUAGGAAAAAAAAAAAAAGAGUAGCUCUGCUCUGUAAAUAUUUCCAAGGUGGCUAUAACCUUCCUCCAAAGAGGCAAAUCCAACAUUAAACACCAGGAGAAUAAAUCAACUACAAAGACUGGCAAAAGGCUGAGAGUCUAAAUUACAACAAGCUCAAGAGGAAGCAGGGGGCUGCUCAGAGAGAGCCAGUGAGAAAUCCAGCACAUCUGGAAAUUCAUCAAACCUGACACUUCCCAUGAAGAGUUCUGGCUCUGAUGAAUCGGGGGCUUUCACAUAUUGUCUGGAGCAUAAGCUGAUUUCCACACACGGAGGUUCCUAAUGAAGACAUCCUUCAGGAGGCAAGGGGAGGAGAUGGGAUAAUGAAAGCAGCCUGUUCGCCAAGCAGAUGCUUCCCCCCGCUCCAAAGAAAGAUAAACACAGUUGCCCCCAUCCAAGCAAGGGAAGGACAGAAGACUUUUGCAAUCUAGUCAAAAAGAGCCAAUCAUGCUUGCACCUAAACUGCUAAUAACCUGAGGCUGAAGCUCAUCCAACAUGAUAAUUC